GACGAACGCUGGCGGCGUGCCUAAUACAUGCAAGUAGAACGCACAGUUUAUACCGUAGCUUGCUACACCAUAGACUGUGAGUUGCGAACGGGUGAGUAACGCGUAGGUAACCUGCCUGGUAGCGGGGGAUAACUAUUGGAAACGAUAGCUAAUACCGCAUAAUAUUAAUUAUUGCAUGAUAAUUAAUUGAAAGGUGCAAUUGCACCACUACCAGAUGGACCUGCGUUGUAUUAGCUAGUAGGUGAGGUAACGGCUCACCUAGGCGACGAUACAUAGCCGACCUGAGAGGGUGAUCGGCCACACUGGGACUGAGACACGGCCCAGACUCCUACGGGAGGCAGCAGUAGGGAAUCUUCGGCAAUGGGCGAAAGUCUGACCGAGCAACGCCGCGUGAGUGAAGAAGGUUUUCGGAUCGUAAAGCUCUGUUGUAAGAGAAGAACGGGUGUGAGAGUGGAAAGUUCACACUGUGACGGUAUCUUACCAGAAAGGGACGGCUAACUACGUG
rnacentral:rRNA from 1 species